rnacentral:rRNA from 1 species
AUUGAACGCUGGCGGCAGGCCUAACACAUGCAAGUCGAGCGAGCGGCGGACGGGUGAGUAAUGUAUGGGGACUGCCCGAUAGAGGGGGAUAACUACUGGAAACGGUGGCUAAUACCGCAUACUAUCGGAUAACCCAUAGGGGGUUAGCUAGUAGGUGGGGUAAAGGCUCACCUAGGCGACGAUCUCUAGCUGGUCUGAGAGGAUGAUCAGCGACAUAGGGACGGAGAUACGGCCCAGGCGCGUACGGGGGCAGAAGUGGGGGAUAUUGCAGAAUGGGCGAAAGCCUGAUGCCGCGACGCCGCGUGGGGGUUGAAGGCUUUCGAGUUGUAAACCUCGUUCGCUAUCGAACGGGUAGGUGGAGAAGAAGCGCCGGCUAACUACGUGCCAGCAGCCGCGGUAAUAC